rnacentral:lncRNA from 12 species
CUUAGGUAUGCUUCUCUGCACGUUCUCUGUGCUCCCUCUCCAGCUCCAGGUAUUUGGCUUGAUGGCUCGUUGAAGACCAAGGUUUCCUUUGUGGGCCAGGAAUAAAAUCCAUUUUUCUCUCCAACACGGAGGACAGUCAGAAGGGAAGGAGCAACCAGUUGACCAAAACUCAGGCUCAUCCAGGCACCAUGGGCAUCUCCCACAGCAGCAUUCAGGAACUGAGGCGCUGCAGAUUUGUACAGCCUGAGGCAGUCCCAGCCAGGCAGGAGGUGGGCAAAGAGAGAGAAGGGAAGUGCCUUGAUAAAAGGUCACAGAGCAGAAGGAAAACCAGCACCCUGAACCCUGCAAAGGCUCCAGACAAUUUGUCAAGCAGCCACUCAUCCCAGUGUUAUCUCAGAAUCCAUCCCGGCCAAAUCUGCUGAGGACGUGAGCAACAGCAUUUUAAUGGCACACAUAAAUAGUUUAUUUAAGGCUGAGACUUGGUGACUACAGCCCUGUCAUUAUCAGUGCCUGGAAUGAACCAUCUCUGAUAAUAAAUAAUCCAGGAUAACUCCCAACAUCAAAAAUUGUUCUGUCCUAAAUUGCUCCCAUCUUUAUCCUAUCAAUCAGAAAUUCUGAGCGUUUCCAACGGCUCAUACAGUAAAUUGACUUUAGCUUUCUUCUUUCCAAAUACUGAAACUGGCUCUUUCCAGGGCACUGCCAUGUAAUUUACAGCUCUAUCACCACCUCCUUAAUAACUGCCAAGUUCUUUGGGUCCUUUGAAA